rnacentral:rRNA from 1 species
GAACGCUGGCGGCGUGCUUAACACAUGCAAGUCGAACGGAAAGGCCCUGCUUUUGUGGGGUGCUCGAGUGGCGAACGGGUGAGUAACACGUGAGUAACCUGCCCUUGACUUUGGGAUAACUUCAGGAAACUGGGGCUAAUACCGGAUAGGAGCUCCUGCUGCAUGGUGGGGGUUGGAAAGUUUCGGCGGUUGGGGAUGGACUCGCGGCUUAUCAGCUUGUUGGUGGGGUAGUGGCUUACCAAGGCUUUGACGGGUAGCCGGCCUGAGAGGGUGACCGGCCACAUUGGGACUGAGAUACGGCCCAGACUCCUACGGGAGGCAGCAGUGGGGAAUAUUGCACAAUGGGCGGAAGCCUGAUGCAGCAACGCCGCGUGCGGGAUGACGGCCUUCGGGUUGUAAACCGCUUUCGCCUGUGACGAAGCGUGAGUGACGGUAAUGGGUAAAGAAGCACCGGCUAACUACGUGCCAGCAGCCGCGGUGAUACGUAGGGUGCGAGCGUUGUCCGGAUUUAUUGGGCGUAAAGGGCUCGUAGGUGGUUGAUCGCGUCGGAAGUGUAAUCUUGGGGCUUAACCCUGAGCGUGCUUUCGAUACGGGUUGACUUGAGGAAGGUAGGGGAGAAUGGAAUUCCUGGUGGAGCGGUGGAAUGCGCAGAUAUCAGGAGGAACACCAGUGGCGAAGGCGGUUCUCUGGGCCUUUCCUGACGCUGAGGAGCGAAAGCGUGGGGAGCGAACAGGCUUAGAUACCCUGGUAGUCCACGCUGUAAACGGUGGGUACUAGGUGUGGGGUCCAUUCCACGGGUUCCGUGCCGUAGCUAACGCUUUAAGUACCCCGCCUGGGGAGUACGGCCGCAAGGCUAAAACCCAAAGGAAUUGACGGGGCCCCGCACAAGCGGCGGAGCAUGCGGAUUAAUUCGAUGCAACGCGUAGAACCUUACCUGGGUUUGACAUGGAUCGGGAGUGCUCAGAGAUGGGUGUGCCUCUUUUGGGGUCGGUUCACAGGUGGUGCAUGGCUGUCGUCAGCUCGUGUCGUGAGAUGUUGGGUUAAGUCCCGCAACGAGCGCAACCCUUGUUCACUGUUGCCAGCACGUUAUGGUGGGGACUCAGUGGAGACCGCCGGGGUCAACUCGGAGGAAGGUGGGGAUGACGUCAAGUCAUCAUGCCCCUUAUGUCCAGGGCUUCACGCAUGCUACAAUGGCUGGUACAGAGAGUGGCGAGCCUGUGAGGGUGAGCGAAUCUCGGAAAGCCGGUCUCAGUUCGGAUUGGGGUCUGCAACUCGGCCUCAUGAAGUCGGAGUCGCUAGUAAUCGCAGAUCAGCAACGCUGCGGUGAAUACGUUCCCGGGGCUUGUACACACCGCCCGUCAAGUCAUGAAAGUUGGUAACACCCGAAGCCGGUGGCCUAACCGUUGUGGGGGAGCCGUCGAAGGUGGGACUGGUGAUUAGGACU